GCCCCCCCUUUCCUCCUUCCCCCCCCCUUCCCGCCUCUCUGGAGGCUCUUCUUGCAUCCUCGAAGGCCUUACCAGUCUUCUUGGAAGCCCUAUCAGCCUCUUCGGAGGCCUCAUCCCAGUUCAUCUUCUCCGAUAACUACCCCUCCACCUGCGCCGAUAGCUUCUCCGUCGGCUCCCCUCCAUCCGUGUAUUCAGCCAGAUUUGUCAAGGAUUUUGGGUCGAAAUUUUUGAAUCUAGAUCUACUUUCCUCCGCCAGUUCCAGGCCGAUACGCUCCAGCCCACUGCCUUCCCCGUCGUCUUCCACCUGCGCCGAUGCCACCCGCGUCUCCAACGGCCUACUAAACACCGGAGCGUCGACUACACGUGCCAGAAAGUGGAUCUCACUCGCUGGCGCGUCUGGGUCACGUCCCUCCUCCUAGCAUUCCUCCGCUGCUGCUGCUGUUCCGUCGUGGCCCUCUUCCUUCCGCCCAUAUUUGCAGGUUAUUGGCCUUUACGGUUAUUCCCUGUGGUUGUUGCUACGCAAUCUGUAUUUGGGUACUAUGUACUCUGUACACACCUUUAAAUUCCCACGUCGAUCAUGACUCCGCAACCUCACUCCCACCCGGUUUCUCGAUUUCGAACCGAUUGUCGUCGUUGUCCAAUCCUGAGACCUCCCAAGUAACCCCUUCUCUCUCAUAUAUGACCUCCCAUAUAUAUAUAUAUGGGAAGGACCGCAAGGUCCGCCUCAACUCGCGCACUGUGGGAAUGAUUCGAAUGGAGAACAAAUUCCUCGUUUUUUACACUGGCCGAGCUCCCAUGGAGUAACGCCUUGUUGACAAGGAACUGGAGAAAGCUGGAAUUGGCGUCGACUACACGCGCCAGAAAGUGGAUCUCACUCGCUGGCGCGUGUGUCACGUCCCUCCUCCUAGAGUUCCUCCGCUGCUGCUGUUCCGUCGUGGCCCUCCUCCUUCGGCCCAUAUCUGCAGGUUAUUGGCCUUUACGCUUAUCCCCUGUGAUUGUUGCUACGCAAUUUGAAUUUGGGUCCUAUCUGUACACACCGUUAAAUUCCCACAUCGAUCAGUACAAUUCGAAUGCUAUGGAGCAUGACUCCGCAACCUCAAUCCCACCCGGUUUCUCGAUUUCGAACCGAUUGCCGUCGUCGUUCGAUUCUGAGACAACCCCUUGGUCCGCUACAACUCGCGCAUUGUGGGAAUGAAGAACAAAUUCCUCGUUUUUUCAACUUGCCGAGCUCCCAUGGAGCUGUCGUUUUUUACACUGGCCGAGCCCCCAUGGGGUUCCUACCAAUUGGAUCAUGCACAAGUACCGCCGCGAGGUCUGCUGCAACUCGCUCACUGUGGGAAUGAAGAACAAAUUCCUCGUUUUUUACACUGGCCGAGUCCCCCAUGGUUUCCUACCAAUUGGAUCAUGCACGAGUACCGCCUCGUUGACAAGGACUGCGAGGUCCGCUGCAACUCGCGCACCGUGGGAAUGAAGAAAAAGUUCCUCGUUUUUUAACACUGGCCGAGCCCCCAUGGGGUUCCUACCAAUUGGAUCAUGCACGAGUACCGCCUUGUUGACAAGGAACUGGAGAAAGGUGGUUUUGCCGUACAGGAUGCGCUUGUACUGUGUAAGAUUUUUCAGAAGAGUGGGACGGGGCCCAAGAAUGGGAAGUUCAGUGGAGAUUAUCAGCAGCCUAUCAUAGGCACUGGUGAAACUUCAGAGCUGAAUCAUUACCAGGAAUUUGUUGAUAUCCCAGAGCAAGAUGGGAUGGAUGCAAACCCAUUGAGAGAUGACUUCUUUAUUGAAGCUAAGGAUCUUUCAGACCCCAUUGAAAUAGAUCCUGCAGAUUUUGACAUGGCUGAGAAGUUCUUUAAUUUAGAUAUGGAUGAAGGUUUUGAUCCCUCUGAUUUUUUUGGGGACUGAAAACACUAGUUCUCACCAAACACCCGUCAACCAGAAGGUGGUGACUGGCAUGAAUUUGCAGAGCAACUGUGGUUCUCACAUGUUGAUGACUUAACCGUUCAUUGCAAGUUUAUGUACUACUAGACUCUUGCUAGUUUGAUAUAUGGUGUAAUGUUGUUUGCAUUUUCUUUUGGGAGAAGCUGCUUGAGGUGGUUGUAGUACUGGCUGUGUUGCUAUUUUAGAGUCCUUUACCUAAAAGAAAGGGCUGUGUUGCUUUUGUUGUAUAACUUCGGAUGAGCCUGUGCUUUGAAUCUCUUUUGGUUCUUAGUAUUUGCCCAAAAUAAAAAAGAAAACUUGUGUUGAUGUCA